GGCACUCUCAUCAUCUGCAAUUUGGCAAAAACCUCAGCUAUCCAUCAUCCGUCGUGCCGUACUUUUCUCUCUUCAUCGAUCAGCAGUCAUCACAUUCACUUCCGGUCAUUGGCUCGGAUUCUCUUCAUUCUCUAAUAUUCAUUUGUUAGAUAUCUCGAGCCAACGUUUUCAAACAGGAAGUGUAUUUCCCAGAGAUUCAUUCAUCCGAGUGUGUUCUCAUCUGACUAAAGAACCACACCGAGGACGAGAACACACCACACGUUCUGUUCAAUUGUAGAUCAGUGGUUUUCAAAGUGGGGGCCGCCAGGGGGCGCCCAGGGUGCCUCAACAAUUUGGUGUGAAAAAUAAAUUCUCACUCUCAGACAACCACACACACACAAUCAAUUUCUAAUGUAAUGUAAUGUAAAGAUGUAAGAUGUAAUUAUUAAUUUUUAAAAAAAGAGGAUAUAUUCAGAAGUCUGUAUUUUUAAUGUGUUUUAAAGACAUCUUGCAAAAGGGGGGCCUCGGUCAAAUGUUACUGCCAUUUGGGGGGCCUUGUCCUGGAAAAGUUUGGGAACCUCUGCUGUAGAUCAUGUGUUGUUCAUUCAUAAUGUUUUUGUCAUUUUUUCACAAAAAUCAAACUUGAUCUGCGAUUGUGCGCGCAACACUGAAAAGUCACAUGACCAAAGUUAGCAACCACGAUUGAUCAGCUUAAGCUCCGCCCAUGUCGUAUUGACUGACGACCUGUUUGUAAAUCAGUAAAAAUCAGGAUGUUCUCAUGGCAUGUUCUGACACAGAGAUAAGCGUGUGUGUGAAUUUAAGUAGCGUAGCAUAUCAUAGCAUAGCGUAGCAUAGCAUCUCGCCUACCAGAGUGUCCAGGAUGGACAGAUGGACAUCCAGCAUGAACAUUCUGACAGGCUGAGCUAGGGCUCUCUGCAGGCUGUACACCGGCUUCAUCUCCGUUCCUCCAAUCAGUUCUUCAUCCUUCAGGCCUGCUGUGAUUUAUCCUCCUACUGUUUAUUGCUCUUCUCUUCUCUCUUUCUCUCACCGUCUUCCCUUCUUAUGCAUUAAGUUAUAAAUAAAACGAAAAACAAACAAGACUACAAGGCUUUGCUUCCUUCUCUCUCUUCUCUCACCUUGCUACUACUGUAACAGGUGGCAAGCUGAGGCUUGUCUAAUGCACUGUAAUGCGCUCUCUCUCACACACACAUACACACACACCCUCUAUGAAUAAAAGGUUUCCAGGAAUGCGGAGAUGUGGAAAGAAGCAGGUAUUCAUAACACACACACACACACACACACACACACACACACACAAACAAAGUGUGUGAGAGUACUUCUAGACACAAUUCAAUAAAAUAAAUAAAGAAAAGAAAACAAUUUUGUACCAUUUUAUGAGCUUGUACUUGAUUUUGUGGGGUCUAACUGUGUGUGUGUGUGUGUGUGUGUGUGUGUGUGUGUGUGUGUGUGUGUUUCCAGUUGUUCCAAACCCUGAUGUAAACACAGGACAGAAAUAGAGGUCAGAUGCCUGUUUACAGUCCAAGGAUUUAGCAUUUAGCCUUUAAAGCAUACCCUUAAGAAUUUAGCUAGAUAUUUUCUUUACACGAAAACAUCAUAAAGUCAUUCUCACAAAUAAAAUGACGUGAAUCCUAUAAACAUGUCCACUUUAAACAACAUUCCAGCAAAGGAUUAAGAAAACUAAAGCCAGCUCGCUUCCAACAGAUUCUGAGAUAAGAAACAAAUGAACAAAGUUUUGCUAUUGUUCACCUGUUGGCUAUUUUUGCUAACAGCAACACUUCAGUGUUACAUUACACCUGAAUUCCACUCAAACAAACAAAGAAAAACACCGAUUUGAUUAUCCAAAGACAAUCAGAUCGACCUUGUGCUAAGAUCUUAGCCACCAUUUUCUACCACUCAUGCUAACUGGUGGUUAGCAGAGGGUUACUAGCUUCCAGACUAGCUGCUAGUUUGCAGGCUCGGGUGUAAUCCUCUGCCCUUCUAUUAUACAAGAACCACAAAAGCAAGUGCAUAUAGUGUAAAUUACAAAACAAAGCCAGUGAGAUAUGCUAAACGAUAAAUGACAGAUUCUGAACAGGAUUAUAAGAAAAAUUGUAGAUAUUCCUAGCAAGAGCAAGUUUUCUGAGGAAGUGAGGAAGAGUGAGAAAGAGUGAAGGACGGUUUAAGGUCAUCGUGAUUGAGAAAAGGGAAAUCCUUUUCCUCAGAUGACGCAGAUCGUAGAUCCUAAUGCUAACGACCAUGUCCCUGAACACACACCUUCCUGCCAAAACAGGAAGUGAACUUUCACCUGCCUAGAAAAUUUCUGUGCAUAAUACAAAUCACUCUCCUUAAAGCUAAUUAAUGUUUGCUAGCAUGCUUGCUAAACGUAACCACAGAAACAACUUCUGAAUAAAUUUGGUAGAUUUAUUCCACAGUAUUCGUGACGCUUUUGUCUGCCACGUUUUUUUUGUUUGUUUGUUUGUUUUUGUAUUAUGGGAUAGCAUUCGCAGAAGAAGUGUUAAAAACGAUUAACUGAAACCUUCACUGUUAACAUUCUAGUAUUUUAGCAGUUUUAUAUCAAAAGACAGACACACAUCCAGUCAGAAUAGUAUGUGUGUGUGUGUGUGUGUGUGUGUGUGUGUGUAAAAUGUUGGACAGAUAGAUGAUAGUAAUGUCGGCAGAAUAAAAGGAAAACAGCAUGUGUGUAUAUGGUUGCUGUAAUAAAUAACUACACACCCACACACACCCACACACACGCACACAGAGAUCAAAGUUCAAGGCUAUGAGUUAAAUUAGUUUAGACCAGGCACUGCUUACACACACAUUCAAUAUACGGUAUAAGACCAAGUCAUAAAAGCUCAAUCACAUUUUAUCCAGAGGAAUGGAAAUACACACACGCACCCACACACACACACACACAAUUAAAAAAUUCUCAAUGUAUAUUCUCAGAAAUAUUUUUUUAAAAUAUAGAAUCAUGCAUAUAUCAACAAUAUUAAUCAUGAAGUAACAAAAAAUCUGUUGAAUCUGGGUGCCAAAACUUUUGGUAUUGGUGGACAGAAGGAGAAAAAAAUAACUGUCAUUAUGAAAUAAAACUUGCUUGAUCGCUUAAUAGGUGAACAUUAAAGUUACCCAAUUUUCAUAAAAGACAUUUUUAUUUUUUAACAAUUUUGCUUAAAUCUGAAAGAAAUUUCAGACUUUUUCAGGGAUUUUGUUGCAUUCUUUUAAGAAAUAUCUGAAUAAUCUGAGUUAGUGCUGUCGCAUCAUUUAAAAAAGCCAAUCAGAGUCCAAAAUUAAAAUAUGCACCAAAUACAGUCUCUGAAACAUCAGCUUACCAGGAAAAGGGAUGGGGCUUGGAAUGUUAAGGGAGGGGCCCUGAUUUGCAUAUUCAUAAAAUCUGUAAAGGUAAAACUGUAGCUGCUUCAGUGUGUUUUUUCUGUCAAAUCUCUCUCUCUCUCUCUCUCUCUCUCUCUCUCUCUCUCACACACACACACCCACACACACACAUACACUUUCUGUGCCCACUGUACAAUAUUACCCAGGAUGCACUGCAGGAGGCCUACCAGGAGACAGAUGGAGCAUCAAGUGCAGUGAACAGCAACAUAUGAGCUCGAUUUGCUCAAUUACACCUCGUUACACACACACAUACACACACACAUCUCAGACAGUAAAUCAUCUCCAUCUGUCCAUGACAUCAUCAUGAGUUCAAAACAAAAAGACAGAUAUGAAUCACACAAAGAGCAGAGUGAAGAAGAGGGUGUGGCCUGUGUGUCUGGCAGUCACAGUGAAGGAGGCGUGGCCUGUGUGUCUGGCAAUGAAAUGCUAAUUAAUCUGAUGAGUGAGAACAGCAAUAUGACACACACACAUCCUGACUGAUAGAUCCAAUAUGCCUUUGAGUGUGUGUUUAUGUGUGUGUGUGUGUGUGUGUGUGUGUGUGUGUGUGUGUGCGCAAACAAAUUGACUCAGACAUAAUCAGAAACUCAGGGCAAGAUCGUAUUAAGACCGUUAAUUAAUGACCCAAAACUUCACACUCCAACAAGAAGAGACAAGCUAAUGUGUGUGUUUGUUUGUGUGUUUGCUUGUGUGUGUGUGUGUGUUCGUGUGUGUGUGUGUGUAUGUGUGUCUUUCAUGUGAAAAGAUAGAAACACCCUUCAGUGUAAAUGUCUGUCUAUAUUGGAUCUCUGGCAGCUCAAUAAUAUUACACAAAUAGAUAGAGAACAGACACGCACACACGCACAAACACACACACACACACACACACACACACACACACACACACACACACUGCAUGAAUGGCUUUUGUGUCCUGACAACAAAGACAUUGGCUGAGACAGAAAAAAACGAUCAUUUCUUUCUCUGAAAGACUGAAAUCACAAUGAUGGACAUUCUGGCUCACACACACACACACACACACACACACACACACACACACACAAAGUUAGAAUAAUCAAAGGAAUAAAGAAAAACAAAACAAAAAGAGAACCAUGUGACUCUCAGACAACACCUGGGAGAGUAAGGUGGUUUUGUGGUCUGGCGUGUUGAAUGAAUUAUUGAGUUGCUGUGAGGUGUUUAGACCACCUUAAACACACAUACAACACACAUCUAAUCUACACAUCUGAAACAAAACCACUAACACUGCUGCUAGAGGGAAAAUCCAGCUGUUUGCAUCUGUGUGUGUGUGUGUGUGUGUGUGUGUGUGUGUGUGUUUGUGUGAGGAAAACAGCUCAUCCUCACAGCUGCUGUCUCAAUUUUGCACAACAGUGUGUUCCUGAAACUCUUUGCACAGUUCUGCUCUCUCUCUCUCACACACACACACACACACACACACACACACACACACACACACACACAAAUAUUAACGCAAACACUGACUCAAUAAAAUACACUAAUCAUAACACUCAUACAAUUACAUACACACAAAUACAAUGCUAAAAACUGUAAUACACAUACACAUCAGUACACAGUAACACAAUAAUACACACUGUGAUAUAUACUGUAUCAUACAUACACACACACACACACAUACACAGAGAGUACCCUGUGAAUAGUGUUAUUGAGCUGUAUAGCGCAGGAAUGGUGCACACCCUGGUGGUCAGUGGUGGUAGUAACACACACAGUAAGUGUUUAACACACUGAGUGUUCAGGUUUUUCUGUCUGUCCAGGACAGUGAUUAAACAUUUUACACAACAUUUAUUAAACAAUUAAUUCAGUAAUAAUAAUAAAAAACAAUCCUUAGGGAAAAAAAGCACCAAAGUGUCCCAUGCUUAAAGUGUCCCAUCACCAAUCUGCCCCGACCCCUAUCUGCCCUACCCCCAAACUGCCCCACGCCAAAUCUGCCCCAUAGUCAACAUGUCCUGAUCGCAGAUGAAUUGGAAAAAUGUGAUGGAUGUCACUAACCUCAUCUACCUGCUGCACAUUCAGCUUUCACACAUUUCUACAAUUUAUAUUCAGCUUCAUUCCAUAUUGUGUAAACAUUUACUGAAUGUUUAAACAUUUCAACCUAACAGAAAAGAAGAGGACAAAGAAAGAAAGAAAGAAAGAAAGAAAAACUACCGUUCUGGUCUCUCUGCCUCAGAGAUUAGGAGAUUUGGUACUGUACUCAGUCUCCAUAGUAACUGCGAUGUGUUUGGGGUGCGCACACACACACACACACACACACACACUCCUGAACAGCUGGAGGCAAACCGGUACCUCAGGAGGCUCCAUUGCCAGAGUUUUUGUCUGAAUUGUGGCUGUUUUUAUUUUUCAUAUGAACAGAGACGUAAAGUUCUCAAUCCUGCACUCAUCUUCAUGUAGAAAUGUGUGUGAUUAUAACAGCUUUAUUAUUAUUAUCUUUCUAACAAGAUAAAUAAAUAUUGUGUCAAUAUAUAAAUGUAUAAUAUAAACGUAAAUAUUAUGUAAAUAGAUGAAAAUGUGUUUAUGUGUUCAUUCACUCCUCUGUUCAUGAUCUGUGUUAUCCAGGUCGGAGUCAGAGUCGGAGUCAGAGUCAGAGCAGAGUCAGAGUGGAGACAGAGUCGGAGUGGAAUCAGAGUGGACUCAGAGUCAGAGGGGAGACAGAGUCGGAGUGGAGUCAGAGUGGAGACAGAGACAGAGUCAGAGUGGAGUCAGAGUCGGAGUGGGGUUGGAGUCAGAGAGGAAUCAGAGUCAGAGUGGAGUUGGAGUCAGAGUGGAGUUGGAGUCAGAGUGGAGUUGGAGUCAGAGUGGAGUCAGAGUCAGAGUGGAGUCAGAGUCAGAGUGAAGACAGAGUCAGAGUCGGAGUGGAGUCAGAGUCGGAGUGGAGUCAGAGUCAGAGUGGAGUCGGAGUGGAAGUGGAAGUGGAGUCAGAGUCGGAGUGGAGUCAGAGUCAGAGUGGAGACAGAGACAGAGUCAGAGUGGAGUCAGAGUCGGAGUGGAGUUGCAGUCAGAGUGGAAUCAGAGUCAGAGUCAGAAUGGAGUUGGAGUCAGAGUGGAAUCAGAGUCAGAGUCGGAGUGGAGUUGGAGUCAGAGUGGAGUCAGAAUCAAAGUGGAGUCAGAGUGGAGUCAGAAUCAGAGUGGAGUCAGAGUGGAGACAGAGUCGAGUGGGAGUCGGAGCGGAGUCAGAGUCGGGGCGGAGUCAGAGUCAGAGUGGAAUCAGAGUCAGAGUCGGAGUGGAGUUGGAGUCAGAGUGGAGUCAGAGUGGAAUCAGAGUUGGAAUCAGAGUCAGAGUCAGAGUGGAGUCAGACUCAGAGUGGAGUUGGAGUCAGAGUGGAAUCAGAGUCAGAGUCAGAGUGGAGACAGAGUCAGAGUGGAGUCAGAGUCAAAGUGGAGACAGAGUCGGAGUGGAGCCAGAGUGGAGUCAGAGUCAGAAUGAAGACAGAGACAGAGUCAGAGCGGAGUCAGAGUCGGAGUGGAGUUGGAGUGGAGUCAGAGUGGAGUCAGAGUCAGAGUGGAGUCGGAAUGGAGUUGGAGUCAGAGUGGAGUCAGAGUCGGAGUGGAGUCGGAGUCAGAGUGGUGUAAUUAGUAAUUUAUAUUUUGGGAAACAGACCCAAGUAAAUUAGUGAGAAAUAAUGGUCAUGAGAAACAAACAUAAAUAAUAACUGCUGCAACUGAUAAAAAAUCCAGUCCUGUGUGUCUCCAGCUCGAUGUGUUGAUUUUACAUUCUAUACACUAAUAAUAAACACUUUGUCCAGUUACAUAUGCAUGUGUUUUUGUGUAUGUGUAUGUGUAUGUGUGUGAGUCAGUGUUUAAAGACCAUUCUGAAUUAAACAGAAGAGACCGAGUGUGUUCUAGCGGUUUCUCUAGUGAGAAACUGUAUAUUUGUGAUAAGUGGAACAUCCAAGACAACAGCAGCGCGUCGAUAAAAACUUCACAGAGGAGACAGAGCUGAAGACAAACGUCCUCAGAGAGACAGUGUGUGUGUGUGUGUGUGUGUUGGAGAUCAAAGGUGUGGUGCAUCAUCCAGUUCAUAACGACUCAUCACACACUCGUCAGUGGCGUUAAAGUCAAUAACGAUAAUAAAUCUCAUUUUACACUUUACUCUGUGCUGUUUUCACAACCCACCAUGCUUUGCUUUCCUGAGCAGUAAAGAAGUGGCUGGAGUCAAGCGCCCCCUGGAGGUGUGUCUAUAACAUGACUGACAGCACGGACCUGUUUUUUUUUCUUUUUCUUUGACCUUUUUUUCUUCUUUCACUUGCUUUGGAUUCUACGUUUUUAACAGAUGUUUCUUUGUCAUCACCGAUAUUUAUUUAUUUGUAGUGGUAAGAACAAUUAAAAAAAAAAAAAUCCUCACUGCACCUUUCAGGUCGGACCAUUAUUCCAAACUAGAGACUUUUCUUUCAUUACUACUGAAUCUACUCGUUCUGGAAGCCAUAAUAAGAAACACGGGCCUGUAAUUCUUUUCUGUACACGCUGCACAGCUAACUCCUGAAACAAGAACACAUUGUUAUGCUAAUGACAGCGUUAGCUGCAGUGAGCUUAACACUAACACACACACAGAGUGUUUGAUCCCGUGUAACGAGCUGAAAUUUGUGUGUGUACCUGUGUAUCCAGCAUCAUCAUCAUCACCACCAUCCACAGCUCAUAUCUCCUUCUUCCUCCUCCUCCUCCUCUUGGUCAGUUCUCACGGUCUCGUAGGGUUUCAAUCCAACCCGUCCUCCAGCAGCACUCGGGAAAGCACGCACGCUCUCUGGAACGCACUCCGGAGUGUAACUAGGGGUCAUCAGAGGUCAUCCACUACAAACACAUCCAGCACAGUGAAUGUCCGAGGGGGAGAAAGUGCAAAAAUCCAGCACUGUUUAUUUCACCACCACCACCACCACCCCACCCCCCCUUUAACCCUGAGGAUGAUUAAACGAGACGAGGAUGAGGAAAACUGAGGAAGCACCGAGCUCCAGCUGCACUGGAUUCUGGAAAAGUGCUAAGUGGUUAAGGUUCUGUGCUAUUAAUCAGAAGGUUGUGUGUUCAAAACCCACCGCCAGAGAGCUCUUGCUGAGGAAGAACCCUCAUUCCUCAGGUGAUCAGUUGUGUGCUUUUUGUAAACGUCAGGAAGUCUCCACUGGUGCUGCACUGCUUAUUAAAGAAACCCUGAACGUCUCCAUUUAAUUCCAGCCAGCUCUGAGUUACCCUUUAAAGGAUGCACACGCUCCCACAGCAGCCCAUUCUCCUCAGCAGUGAUCUCAAUUACGGACCUGCUCUAAAAAAAAUUAUAAUAAUUAAAAACCCCAACAGAAACCUUUAAGGUGUCUCUUUUAAUUCCAGAAACGUUGGAUUCUCCCUUUAAAGGACUUGUACAGUUUUCUCGGUAACGCUGCGUCCGGUUUCAGACGAAAUGCAGAUCAGCGCUCAGGUGUGAUCUUGAUUAUAGACCUCACAUCCCUUUACACUUCCAAAAGUGGAAAAGUCAAAAAGUCAAUACAAAUACAUCCCUUUAACUCCAACCACGUCAGACUGGAAUGAAAAAUGAAUUUCUAAAAAAAGAAGAACGUGUAUUCUGAUAUCUGUCCUAGCUGAGAGUCAGACAUUCAGUGUCAAGAUACAAACUGUGGAUCUUCAAAUCCAAAAAUAUGUAGAUUAAUGACGUUCCUUUAAUGACGAUGUAGCUGUAAUUGGUGUCUACCUUUGACCUUUUCAUCUGAGAGGGUACAGGUGAGAUGCUCAGGAUGCAGGUCCGUGCACACUAGAUGAUGCACACUAGAUGAUGCAUACUAGGCCACUUCAUAAAGUCUGCAACAGUGCACAAUCUUCAAUCCAACAACCGAGAUUACAAUCCCGGGUUAAACCCGAGUGUGUGCGGAUUUAAUCCGAGAUAAAUCCAGGUCAGGACAGACAGGACCGAAUGAUGAGGAUGAAGAAGAUGCAGCAGCUUCAUCAUGCCUGGUUCAUCUUUCCAUUUUUUCUCUCUCCGAAUCAUCAACACACCACAUCCCAAAUAUUCAUCCCAUUUUUAAGGCACGGCGCGCGCGUUUCUCCAUCUUUUUCCUUCCUCCAGAUUGUGCUUGAAUUCCAUCUUCUCUCUCUUUUUUUUUUUUUUUUUUUUUUUUUUUUUUUUUUGCUGCUCUGACAAAAUGGACGGCCUCUCUUGCUUUUUUUUCUUAUCUCUCGAGCUCAGUCCGUUUCCACUCCCUUUUAUUUUUCUCCCGCUCCAUUAUCACAUUCUUCCCAUAUGCAAGAAGACAAGAAAACCCUGCAGGAAUGAUAAAUCAGAGAGAAAACGCGUGCAUUCCGGACAAAGUUUGAUGUAUUGAGUCAGAUCCUCUCAGUCAUGUUGUCUGAUACACACAGCUGAGAAGAAC
ensembl:lncRNA